rnacentral:rRNA from 1 species
ACUCAAAUGAAUUGACGGGGGCCCGCACAAGCGGUGGAGCAUGUGGUUUAAUUCGAUGCAACGCGAAGAACCUUACCUACCCUUGACAUCCUUGGAAUCCUAAUGAAAGUUGGGAGUGCCGAAAGGAACUGAGAGACAGGUGCUGCAUGGCUGUCGUCAGCUCGUGUCGUGAGAUGUUGGGUUAAGUCCCGUAACGAGCGCAACCCUUGUCCUUCGUUGCUAACAGGUAAAGCUGAGAACUCGAAGGAGACUGCUGGUGAUAAACCGGAGGAAGGUGGGGAUGACGUCAAGUCAUCAUGGCCUUUAUGGGUAGGGCUACACACGUGCUACAAUGGGGUGAACAGAGGGACGCGAAACGGCGACGUGGAGCUAAUCCUAGAAAACACCUCGUAGUCCGGAUUGGAGUCUGCAACUCGACUCCAUGAAGAUGGAAUCGCUAGUAAUCGCGAAUCAGAAUGUCGCGGUGAAUACGUUCCCGGGCCUUGCACACACCGCCCGU